UGGUGUAGAACUUUGUGGAAGGCACGCGGGUCCGAACGAUUAGCCUGGACCAUUGGAAGACUGUUCUAUAAAAGCCGGCGCGCUUGACCCGCUGAUCAGAUUUCCGACGAUCGCCGACCGUGUUCGCCGCUAUCGUUGGGCUGUAAGUGUAGCCUGUUUUUGUGGGCACAGGUUCGCCCAAUAAAAGCUAGUUUUGUAUUCCACCGUAUUGCUGCUUUCUUCAACGUCACUACCACGUGACAAUAUAAACCUCACUUCAAUGUUGUGUCCGUAACUUGUGGAGGAUGGAAGACACUGCGCUAUAUUUUCUUUUUUGGGGGGGGGGGCGCCACUUUUAAUUUUUAUAUUUUUUUCGUUGCAUAGAACGUGCAAAUCGGUUGAUAUGCACAUCAUCCGAAUUGCGCAUGGUUUCAAAUGUUACCUUUUCCUUCACCUCGAUUCAUUGGCCGAAUUUCGUUAUCCCUGCAUCACAAAAACGAGGGAGAUGGGCAGGACCGGGCAAGGCAAGGCAGCUUCUACGUCUUGUCGAGUCUUACUGACCCUGCCCUGCUGCAUUGCGAGCGCAAAACAAGAAGCAACUCGAGUGACCACGGCAACUUUUCCAGCUCGAUGAUCGGCUGUCCUACCACUAAAAGCCGAGGGUAAGAGGCGGGUGCGGCUGGUUCGCUGCAGCUUCAUAGAAUAACAAUUCAGCACUGCUUGUUAUUUAGCACUGUCAAUGUGUGUAUGCGUUCAAUUUCCGUUCGGAAGGCAAGCAAAAUAAUGACUUAAACGCAGGAAUUGGAAUGUCAGGCGGCAUAACAAUAUCUCUCAUGUUAGGACGGGAAUAUUUUACAAAGCGGGGAUGAGGGUGUAAUAAGGGUGUAAUGACGUGGAUUCUGUGCUGAGGGUGAGGGUGGAAAACAAACUACUGAGGGCAUCUGUCCACCGCUACUGGUGCCAAUGUCAUCGUAGGUUCAGUUCUAGGCCAUAGCCAGCCCAUGUAUAGGAAGGUACAGUGCCAAAAGGCUCAGACGUAAUGCCAAGGAAUAAUUUAAACUUCAAAUUGUCAAAAACACAACCAGCAAUGUGGACAUCUUUUCCUUUUCUUUCGCAGGCCUUCUCUGGGUCGUGUAACCAUGACAAUCAUUCCAGAAGGAAACCUUCCAAGGCAGCUCUCGUAUCGAGUUUCUUCAACAGAACAAAGGAGUCAGACAUCGUCCGGGCAUACGGAAGCAUACCAAGGCACACGGACGUCCUGGGCUUCGCAUCGACAGCGACUCGACGCCGACCACGGGCCGUGCAAGAACUGACUACACCUCGUCAACGGUAGGCGAGAACACCCGUGAACCUGACGGCGCCUCCAUGGCCGAAGUCCAAAGCAACGCGGUUUACAAUUCAAAUCUCAACGGCCCUCACGUUUGCGGCCAAUGCGGGACGACCUUCAGCCGCCUGCAUCACUUCCGCAGGCACCUGGCCAUGCACCUGUACUGGGAAGCAAUCGACGAGGAACGCGGUGCAAAAGUCGAGGAGAAGGCGGAGCCACUGGACCACCAGCAACUCCACGACAAAGGUAAAAAAAAAAAAUAUUUCGAAACUCCUGACAAUGGACGGAGAUGCGAUGGCUGGUGUCUUUGCCGCUUUGUAAUGGGGUCGCUGUAGUUUCCCCCUGCGUUGUCAAAACAAAAAGAAUAUAUA